rnacentral:lncRNA from 1 species
CCUUGGGGUUUUUCUUCUCGCUGGGGCAAUCCAAGAACUGGUCCCAACGAUAACAGUCGGAUGGAGGUCGACGAUCGGGAGGACUUCCAUCAGCUGAAGGAUAUGACGGUCCCACCGUAAAGAAAACUUAUGACCGAACAGGCUCUCUAUGAUGCUGGUCUUAGUUCGAUCACCAACUUAGGUAUAGUAUAGUCGGUCACUUCCAACUUUAUUCUUCUUUUGUUUGUUUCUGGAGUGUGUUG